CCGGGGGCUCAGUGCAGCGCCGCCAGCUCCUCAUGCUGCUGCCAGCGGCAGGGACCAGCCUCUCCGCAGCCGGCUCCGUGCGCCCCGGGACGGCACCAUGAACAGCCUCCCCGCCGACAAGGAGAGCGGCGCGGCCGAGCCCGGCCUGCCCGAGGAGGAGGUCCGGACUCUCUUUGUGAGCGGCCUUCCCCUGGACAUCAAACCGCGGGAGCUCUACUUGCUGUUCAGACCCUUCAAGGGUUAUGAAGGCUCUCUGAUAAAACUCACCUCUAAACAGCCUGUAGGGUUUGUCAGCUUUGACAGUCGCUCAGAAGCAGAAGCUGCUAAGAAUGCGCUGAAUGGAAUUCGCUUUGACCCCGAAAUUCCACAAACGCUACGACUAGAAUUCGCCAAGGCAAACACCAAGAUGGCCAAGAGCAAGCUAGUGGGAACCCCGAACCCGAGCACUCCUCUCCCCAGCACGGUACCUCAGUUCAUUACCAGGGAGCAAUAUGAGCUCACAGUGCCUGCACUUUAUCCCAGUAGCCCUGAAGUGUGGGCGCCGUACCCUCUGUACCCAGCGGAGUUAGCACCUGCUCUACCUCCUCCUGCUUUCACCUAUCCCGCUUCACUGCAUGCCCAGAUGCGCUGGCUCCCUCCCUCAGAGGCUGCUUCUCAGGGCUGGAAGUCCCGUCAGUUCUGCUGAAUACUGUGUAUCAGGUGUGUGAUGGUGGCUACAAUCAGUCUUGUGGGUAUUAAUGGAACCUUUGAAGGUGGCUACUGGUUUCUCAUGCCCUCCUUCAAAACUACAGUGUGCUGGCUUGAAAAACCUCACACAAGUUUUGAUUCCUUCAAGACUUUGCCACAGCCUCUAUCACACAUCUGCUCUCGUAGAAGAAAAAAAGCAUACAAACUAAUGAAGUUUUCCUUUUUUACACUGUAUUGUUGUAAGGAAGAGUGUUACUUGUGACAGCACGGUCGGACAGUCAUUGCUGUAGAGUUUGAAAAGUAUUUUCAAACAAAAAAGCAAACUAUCAAAGCAAAAGGAGAGCGAGUAUUUUUAUACCAAACAUUGUGCAUAUAACAAUCUUACACCGGGUUAGAUCACUAAGUUUUGUGCUCGACUUUUGAAUGCGUGCAAUUAAGAUUCUCUCUUUUUUCUUUCUUCUUUUUUUGUAAGCUGCAUGCAUUCAAGACAUGUUUUUAAAUCUUGUUCAGAAUUAAAUAAUUGUAUUGUUAGGUUUAUAGGCAUUGUGCUUAGCCUGGGCGGAACUACAGCUCUGGGUAUAUUUACAGUAUUAGGGUUUUAUUCCCCAGUGUACCAUAUUCUAUCAGGCAGGACAAUCAGAAAACAAUUUUUCUACCUUAGGGCUACAGUUCCCUUUUGCAGUGUGAGGCUUUAGUCUAGCAGAGAGCUGUGCAGGGAAAAGCCAUGCAUGGAGCAAGUGGAGACUUACUAAUGAGCGCUCUCCCUGUGCUUACUUCAGGGACAGUUACAUUUGCUGGGUCACUAUCUGUCCAGGGACAGGAAGGGCUGGUUCCGGUAAUGGCUUGAAAUGUUUACUGGCAACGUAAACGGCUGUAAUGAGAAAAAGUUGACCCCAAUUCAGGAACACACUCAAGAACAUGCUUAAGUCUAGUUGAAGUGAAUGGGACUUUAACACACACUUACAGUUAACACUUAAGUGCUUUGUUGAAUUAGGGCCUUAAUGAAUAGUUUAUGCCUGUCCAGCUCCUUGCUAUGUAAUAUGCUGGUAUUUUCAAUGCAAAAGUGAAACCAAAAAGGGAGGCUUUGACAUUUUCUGCUAAACCCUGUUCUUUACUCCAGUCAUUGUCUUGAAGCAAUAUUUGUAAUGUUUACGGAGAAUACUGUACCAGCAACAAGAAGCUUAUUUUACCAGUACAUUCCUUUUCCCCUAUUGCUUUUCACUCUGCAUAGGAAUAGAAUAUAGAAAUGAGUCUUUGUUUUCCUGUAAAAGGAUUGACAACUCCUGACCCCUAAAGACGACUCUCUCUCCGCCCACUCACCCAUAAGGAAUGCUGUGCCGCAGCCUGCACUGAUUGGUUCAAGAAGGACCUGAUUGUUGACAAGUGUGGUGAAAGUGUGCUCACAGGUUUCCCCGUAGUUUUGUUCACAUUGUGCUGAACACGUAGUGCUGUCAGUGUUUUUAUGAUGCCAACACAAUUGUUCUUUGUGGAAAUGCAGAUGUUGAGAAUUCUUCAGUCCCAAGACCACAGUGAUAGUUGAAAGCAUAAGACAGAAAAACAUAAAUUCUACUUUUGUUUAAACAAAGUGACAAGGAUAACUUGAGAACAAAUGUUUAAAUAAAUCUAAACAGACAUGUGUAAGUAUUCUAACCAAUAGACUAGUUCUUUAGAAAACUGAUUUUCUGUAUUUGUUUUGGGUAAUAGAGGAAAGAAACAUCCACAUUGUCUACUCUGCUUUUUUGAAAUAUGUUUAAAGGUACUUUUCUAUUGUAAUUUUUAAAAAAUAAAACAA